rnacentral:rRNA from 1 species
AGCGCAGGCGGGAUAGCAAGUCAGCUGUGAAAACUAUGGGCUCAACCCAUAAACUGCAGUUGAAACUGUUAUUCUUGAGUGGAGUAGAGGCAAGCGGAAUUCCGAGUGUAGCGGUGAAAUGCGUAGAUAUUCGGAGGAACACCAGUGGCGAAGGCGGCUUGCUGGGCUCUAACUGACGCUGAGGCUCGAAAGUGUGGGAGCAAACA